rnacentral:rRNA from 1 species
ACAAUGAAGAGUUUGAUCCUGGCUCAGGAUGAACGCUAGCUACAGGCUUAACACAUGCAAGUCGAGGGGCAUCAGGAAGAAAGCUUGCUUUCUUUGCUGGCGACCGGCGCACGGGUGAGUAACACGUAUCCAACCUGCCCUUUACUCGGGGAUAGCCUUUCGAAAGAAAGAUUAAUACCCGAUGGCAUAAUGAUUCCGCAUGGUUUCAUUAUUAAAGGAUUCCGGUAAAGGAUGGGGAUGCGUUCCAUUAGGUUGUUGGUGAGGUAACGGCCCACCAAGCCUUCGAUGGAUAGGGGUUCUGAGAGGAAGGUCCCCCACAUUGGAACUGAGACACGGUCCAAACUCCUACGGGAGGCAGCAGUGAGGAAUAUUGGUCAAUGGGCGAUAGCCUGAACCAGCCAAGUAGCGUGAAGGAUGAAGGCUCUAUGGGUCGUAAACUUCUUUUAUAUAAGAAUAAAGUGCAGUAUGUAUACUGUUUUGUAUGUAUUAUAUGAAUAAGGAUCGGCUAACUCCGUGCCAGCAGCCGCGGUAAUACGGAGGAUCCGAGCGUUAUCCGGAUUUAUUGGGUUUAAAGGGAGCGUAGGUGGACUGGUAAGUCAGUUGUGAAAGUUUGCGGCUCAACCGUAAAAUUGCAGUUGAUACUGUCAGUCUUGAGUACAGUAGAGGUGGGCGGAAUUCGUGGUGUAGCGGUGAAAUGCUUAGAUAUCACGAAGAACUCCGAUUGCGAAGGCAGCUCACUGGACUGCAACUGACACUGAUGCUCGAAAGUGUGGGUAUCAAACAGGAUUAGAUACCCUGGUAGUCCACACAGUAAACGAUGAAUACUCGCUGUUUGCGAUAUACAGUAAGCGGCCAAGCGAAAGCAUUAAGUAUUCCACCUGGGGAGUACGCCGGCAACGGUGAAACUCAAAGGAAUUGACGGGGGCCCGCACAAGCGGAGGAACAUGUGGUUUAAUUCGAUGAUACGCGAGGAACCUUACCCGGGCUUAAAUUGCAGUGGAAUGAUGUGGAAACAUGUCAGUGAGCAAUCACCGCUGUGAAGGUGCUGCAUGGUUGUCGUCAGCUCGUGCCGUGAGGUGUCGGCUUAAGUGCCAUAACGAGCGCAACCCUUAUCUUCAGUUACUAACAGGUCAUGCUGAGGACUCUGGAGAGACUGCCGUCGUAAGAUGUGAGGAAGGUGGGGAUGACGUCAAAUCAGCACGGCCCUUACGUCCGGGGCUACACACGUGUUACAAUGGGGGGUACAGAAGGCAGCUAGCGGGUGACCGUAUGCUAAUCCCAAAAGCCUCUCUCAGUUCGGAUCGAAGUCUGCAACCCGACUUCGUGAAGCUGGAUUCGCUAGUAAUCGCGCAUCAGCCACGGCGCGGUGAAUACGUUCCCGGGCCUUGUACACACCGCCCGUCAAGCCAUGGGAGCCGGGGGUACCUGAAGUACGUAACCGCAAGGAUCGUCCUAGGGUAAAACUGGUGACUGGGGCUAAGUCGUAACAAGGUAGCCGUACCGGAAGGUGCGGCUGGAACACCUCCUUU